rnacentral:tRNA from 2 species
AAGGCUUUAAGUUAACCAAACUUAUAUCCUUCAAAGCUAUAAAUAAAGACCCAUAAAUCUUUAAGCCUUA